rnacentral:misc_RNA from 1 species
GAGCAGGUCUGUCCGAGCGUCCGCCAAUCGACGAAAACGUUGUCAUCCUUGGAUGACAAGAGUGAGGAGCUGCAACGCCGACCCGCGUGCGGUGUGGGCUGCACUCCUUGAAGAGACGUGCCCGUGGACUGCGACGCGGCGGUCCGAUGAGACGUCGUCGCAACAUCGCGAAAAGUUGUGUCGUCGCGUCUCAUCCAGACGCCGCCGCGGUAGGGUCCCCGGCAAGACAUCGGGAAGCGUGCGACCAUCUGGACCUCGGAUCAGGCC